rnacentral:tRNA from 1 species
AGCAGCGUAGCGCAGAGGAAGCGUGGUGGGCUCAUAACCCACAGGUCGUAUGAUCGAAACAUACCGCUGCUA